GCAUUCAUGGGGUAGUGGUAACCUGGGUCGUUGCCAACUCCGUCUGAUUCGACCCGCCGCGGGUUCGAUUCCCGCUGAAUGCA
rfam:Laetiporus sulphureus 93-53 unplaced genomic scaffold LAESTscaffold_28, whole genome shotgun sequence.